CGGCGUGCCUAAUACAUGCAAGUCGAGCGAACUGAUUAGAAGCUUGCUUCUAUGACGUUAGCGGCGGACGGGUGAGUAACACGUGGGCAACCUGCCUGUAAGACUGGGAUAACUUCGGGAAACCGAAGCUAAUACCGGAUAGGAUCUUCUCCUUCAUGGGAGAUGAUUGAAAGAUGGUUUCGGCUAUCACUUACAGAUGGGCCCGCGGUGCAUUAGCUAGUUGGUGAGGUAACGGCUCACCAAGGCAACGAUGCAUAGCCGACCUGAGAGGGUGAUCGGCCACACUGGGACUGAGACACGGCCCAGACUCCUACGGGAGGCAGCAGUAGGGAAUCUUCCGCAAUGGACGAAAGUCUGACGGAGCAACGCCGCGUGAGUGAUGAAGGCUUUCGGGUCGUAAAACUCUGUUGUUAGGGAAGAACAAGUACAAGAGUAACUGCUCGUACCUUGACGGUACCUAACCAGAAAGCCACGGCUAACUACGUGCCAGCAGCCGCGGUAAUACGUAGGUGGCAAGCGUUAUCCGGAAUUAUUGGGCGUAAAGCGCGCGCAGGCGGUUUCUUAAGUCUGAUGUGAAAGCCCACGGCUCAACCGUGGAGGGUCAUUGGAAACUGGGGAACUUGAGUGCAGAAGAGAAAAGCGGAAUUCCACGUGUAGCGGUGAAAUGCGUAGAGAUGUGGAGGAACACCAGUGGCGAAGGCGGCUUUUUUGGUCUGUAACUGA
rnacentral:rRNA from 1 species